GUUUGAUCAUGGCUCAGGAUGAACGCUGGCGGCGUGCUUAACACAUGCAAGUCGAACGAAGCACCUGAUUUGAUUUUCUUCGGAAUUGAAGAUCUUGUGACUGAGUGGCGGACGGGUGAGUAACGCGUGGGCAACCUGCCUUGUACAGGGGGAUAACAGUUAGAAAUGACUGCUAAUACCGCAUAAGACCACAGCACCACAUGGUGCAGGGGUAAAAACUGAGGUGGUACAAGAUGGGCCCGCGUCUGAUUAGCUGGUUGGUGAGGUAACGGCUCACCAAGGCGACGAUCAGUAGCCGACCUGAGAGGGUGACCGGCCACAUUGGGACUGAGACACGGCCCAAACUCCUACGGGAGGCAGCAGUGGGGAAUAUUGCACAAUGGGGGAAACCCUGAUGCAGCGACGCCGCGUGAGUGAUGAAGUAUUUCGGUAUGUAAAGCUCUAUCAGCAGGGAAGAAAAUGACGGUACCUGACUAAGAAGCCCCGGCUAACUACGUGCCAGCAGCCGCGGUAAUACGUAGGGGGCAAGCGUUAUCCGGAUUUACUGGGUGUAAAGGGAGCGUAGACGGAACAGCAAGUCUGAUGUGAAAACCCGGGGCUCAACCCCGGGACUGCAUUGGAAACU
rnacentral:rRNA from 1 species